rnacentral:tRNA from 1 species
UCCCUGGUGGCUCAGACAGUAAAGAAUCUGCCUGCAAUGCAGGAGACCCAGGUUCAAUCCCUGGCUCUGGAA